rnacentral:misc_RNA from 1 species
AUUCAAGACAGGAUCAGCCAUGUUUAGGGCACGCAUACCAGACAGUUAGAGGUCGUGAAAUUUCUUGUUGACAAGAACAAAAAUGGAUCCUCAAUCUAGUGCCCAAGAUGUACACCGAUGCAACCUUUGUGAGACCGCCAUAGUACACAGCUACUGUGACUUUUGUCAUGUCAACCUUUGCAAGCCCUGUAUAGGAGAACACAUCUCAGAUGGAUAUCAUAAACAUGUAAUAGUCCCUUUCCAGGAACGAAGAUCAACCCUCAUUUAUCCGAAAUGUGGAACACAUCAACACAAAAAUUGUGAAUUCCAGUGCAAAUCUUGCAACAAUAUUUUUGUUUGUUCUUCUUGUACUGCAUCUGAACAACACAGGGGGCAUAUUUUUGUAGACAUAUCAACUGUUUACAAGACCCAGAAAAAAAAUAUUGAAAAGGAUACAGAAGAGUUAUAAACCUUAUUUCGCCUACAUAUGAAGAAAUUGCAAGCGAUUUGGAAAAUCAGCUUGCCAACCUGGAUGGAGGAUAUGAGAAACUUACAACAACAAUGUCCAAACAAGGAGAGCAAUGGCACAGAGAAAUCGACAUCGUCAUCAACAGAAUGAAAACUGAAAUCAGCGAGAUAAAAGUGAAACACAGAGACAUUUUAGAGAAACAUUUGAAUGAAAUCAAACAGAUACAGUCUCUUAUACAGCAAACACUAUUAGCCAUGGAAGAAAUUAAGAAAUCCACUGAAGUAUCUUCGACCAUUGAAUACAGCUCUAAGAUCAAAGAGUUCAGGAAGCUUCCACCCAAAGUUAAGUUUACAAUGCCAACAUUCAUUCCAAAACCAAUAGAGCGUGAGGAGCUGUAUAGUUUGUUUGGAAAGAUCAUCUCAUUAUCUUCCGCUAUAGAAGAAAAUAUCUUGUCCCUGAAUCAACCCAAAGCUUUAGUCAGACAACUACUUGAUGAACCAGAAAUCGUUGCAACAAUACAGACUGGGUAUGAAAGACUACGACAUGUUACCUGCCUAAAUAAUGGUAGCAUAUGGACGAGCGGGGAGACCAAUGAUAUCAAAUGCUUCAACAUUGAAGGUUCACUUCUCCAGACAAUCCAGAGAAAAUCAGGAAAAUUUCCAAGUGAUAUAGCUGUAGACUGUGAUGGGGAUCUAUUGUACAUUAGCGUUAUAACAAGGACAGUGAAUAAAGUUAAGAAUGGACAAAUAGAAGAGUUGAUCAUAUUACAGGGAUGGAUGCCUGGUAAGCUGUGUGUCACCUCUACUGGUGAUCUCCUGGUUACCAUGUACAGUGAUGAUGGAACUCAAUCCAAAGUUGUCCGUUACUCAGGAUCUACAGAGAAACAAACAAUUCAGUUUGAUGACGAAGGUAAACCUCUGUACUCAGGAAAUAGUAAAAGUAAAUACAUCACAGAGAACAGAAACCAUGACAUCUGUGUAGCUGACAGUUUGGCUGGUGUAGUAACGGUGGUUAAUCAGGACGGGAAACUCAGAUGGAGAUACAACGGUCAUCCCUCAGUUACCAAGAACAAAUCAUUUAAACCCCGGGGUAUCACAACAGACAGUCAGAGUCGUAUCCUGACAGCUGAUCAUAACAACCAUUGUAUCCACAUUCUGGAUCAGAAUGGACAGUUUCUCCGUUACAUUGAUAACUGUGAUCUGAAGAAUCCUUAUGGUUUAUGUGUAGACAAUAAUGACAAUCUGUUUGCGUGUGAGUACAACAAAGGCAAUGUACAGAAAAUUAAAUAUUUGAAAUAGAGACUAAAAUUUAUGAUUCUGAUGUCAUUUAAACAAGAUUUGCACGUCACCAUUUUCCCAUUUAAUCAAUCAGUACGAAUAUAUGUACUUUGUUUUCAUUUCACAAUUAAUAAAUAGAAAACGUGUGUGUAAU